rnacentral:tRNA from 1 species
UGUCUCGUAGCUCAGACAGUAGAGCAUGCGCGUACAGCGUAGGCGGUGUCCAUGCGUGGGUUCGAAUCCCAUCGAGGCUA